ACACCACUCACCUCCCUAGAUAAUUCGCAGUUGUCAGUUAGAGCCUUAUCACCCAAAAGGCCUCAUGAAGCAAGCUUUGAGGCAAAAGAAAAAAUAGUUCUUGUCUUCCACACAGCAUUAAAAAAUAAAUAAGAACUAUUAGGAAUGGUUCACUGGGGCUUCCUUUUCAGUAUAUGUUUCAGUUGAUAAUCUGGCCAUUCCCAAAUAUUUACUAUUACAUACAUAAGAGAAAUGGAGAAUAAAUAUCUCAUUUAGGAUUUCAGGUUUUAGUGUUAGCUCUUAGUGGUAGGAACUGUGUUCUCCAUGAUGUUUUUUCAAGCAGUGUUUCUCUAACAGCUGACAACCUAUGACCCACACUCAAGCCUCCCAGAUUUGUGACUGUACUAAGAAGACAGAGUUAAGAACACACAUGAAGGAAGUCCUUUGAAAGCAGAAGUUUCUCCACUGAAGAAAGAUAAUUUCCUCCCAGGAAAUUUCAUAUAUUCUGGUCAGGUUUUUUCAGUUGUUUGUCGAAACACUGCUGUCCUGUUCUGCAAUUUGAUGUCUCUGAAAAGGGUUUCAGCUACUAUCAACUAUUAAUCACAUGCAUCAGAACUGAC
rnacentral:lncRNA from 1 species